CAGAUCAAACCACCGCAGAC
rnacentral:miRNA from 1 species